GAUGGUUCAUUCAAAUUUCUAGCCCUAUCAACUUUCGAUGGUAGGAUAGUGGCCUACCAUGGUUUUGACGGGUAACGGGGAAUUAGGGUUCUAUUCCGGAGAGGGAGCCUGAGAAACGGCUACCACAUCCAAGGAAGGCAGCAGGCGCGCAAAUUACCAAUCCCAAUACGGGGAGGUAGUGACAAUAAAUACUGGAUACAGGGCUCUUUUGGGUCUUGUAAUUGGAAUGAGAACAAUUUAAAUCCCUUAACGAGGAACAAUUGGAGGGCAAGUCUGGUGCCAGCAGCCGGCGGUAAUUCCAGCUCCAAUAGCGUAUAUUAAAGUUGGUUGCAGUUAAAAAGCUCGUAGUUGAACUUUGGGUCUGGCUGAUCUGUCCUCCUAAUCGAGCGCACGGGAUUCGGUCGGACCUUUCCUUCUGGGGAACCCUAUGCCCUUCACUGGGCGUAAUGGGGAACCAGGACUUUUACCUUGAAAAAAUUAGAGUGUUCAAAGCAGGCCUUUGCUCGAAUACAUUAGCAUGGAAUUAUAGAA
rnacentral:rRNA from 1 species